rnacentral:rRNA from 1 species
UGGGGAAUUUUGGACAAUGGGGGCAACCCUGAUCCAGCCAUGCCGCGUGCGGGAAGAAGGCCUUCGGGUUGUAAACCGCUUUUGUCAGGGACGAAAAGCUCCGGAGUAAUAUGCCGGAGUGCUGACGGUACCUGAAGAAUAAGCACCGGCUAACUACGUGCCAGCAGCCGCGGUAAUACGUAGGGUGCGAGCGUUAAUCGGAAUUACUGGGCGUAAAGCGUGCGCAGGCGGUUGGGUAAGACAGAUGUGAAAUCCCCGGGCUUAACCUGGGAACUGCAUUUGUGACUGUCCGACUGGAGUACGUCAGAGGGGGGUGGAAUUCCACGUGUAGCAGUGAAAUGCGUAGAUAUGUGGAAGAACACCGAUGGCGAAGGCAGCCCCCUGGGACGCAACUGACGCU